GACGAACGCUGGCGGCGUGCUUAACACAUGCAAGUCGAACGGAAAGGCCCUGCUUUUGUGGGGUGCUCGAGUGGCGAACGGGUGAGUAACACGUGAGUAACCUGCCCUUGACUUUGGGAUAACUUCAGGAAACUGGGGCUAAUACCGGAUAGGAGCUCCUGCUGCAUGGUGGGGGUUGGAAAGUUUCGGCGGUUGGGGAUGGACUCGCGGCUUAUCAGCUUGUUGGUGGGGUAGUGGCUUACCAAGGCUUUGACGGGUAGCCGGCCUGAGAGGGUGACCGGCCACAUUGGGCCUGAGGUACGGCCCAGACUCCUACGGGAGGCAGCAGUGGGGAAUAUUGCUCAAUGGGCGGAAGCCUGAUGCAGCAACGCCGCGUGCGGGAUGACGGCCUUCGGGUUGUAAACCGCUUUCGCCUGUGACGAAGCGUGAGUGACGGUAAUGGGUAAAGAAGCACCGGCUAACUACGUG
rnacentral:rRNA from 1 species